UACGUAGGGGGCGAGCGUUGUCCGGAAUCAUUGGGCGUAAAGAGCGUGUAGGCGGCUUGGCAAGUCUGACGUGAAAGCCCGCGGCUCAACCGCGGAUUGUCGUUGGAAACUGCCUCGCUAGAGUCCGGAAGAGGAGAGCGGAAUUCCUGGUGUAGCGGUGGAAUGCGUAGAUAUCAGGAGGAACACCGGUGGCGAAGGCGGCUUUCUGGACAGAUACCGACGCUGAGGCACGAAAGCUAGGGGAGCAAACAGG
rnacentral:rRNA from 1 species